rnacentral:rRNA from 1 species
GACAGAGGUGCCAAGCGUUAGGCGGAAUCACUGGCUUAAAGCGCGUGUAGGUGGACGGGUAAGUAUCUUGUGAAAUCCCACGGCUCAACCGUGGAACUGCUGGAUAUACUGCUUGUCUUGAGGCACUUAGGGGCAGCUGGAACAAAUGGUGGAGCGGUGAAAUGCGUAGAUAUCAUUUGGAACGCCAAAGGCGAAAGCAGGCUGCUGGGAGUGAUCUGACACUGAGACGCGAAAGCCAGGGGAGCAAACGGGAUUAGAAUGACCCUAGUAACGUUCAGAC